rnacentral:rRNA from 1 species
UACGUAGGGUGCAAGCGUUGUCCGGAAUUAUUGGGCGUAAAGAGCUCGUAGGCGGUCUGUCGCGUCGGCUGUGAAAACCCGGAGCUCAACUCCGGGCCUGCAGUCGAUACGGGCAAACUGGAGUGUUGCAGGGGAGACUGGAAUUCCUGGUGUAGCGGUGAAAUGCGCAGAUAUCAGGAGGAACACCGGUGGCGAAGGCGGGUCUCUGGGCAACAACUGACGCUGAGGAGCGAAAGCGUGGGGAACGAACAGG